AGUGCACACUGUUAGAGCCCGGUGCUGUCCUGGCUGUGCAGUACGGGGUGUAGGAUGUGUGCUAAAUGAAAAUGCCUGAUCUUUAAUCUUCUUUCUCUGAACCACACAGAGGCUGGAGGUAGAGAUCUUGCCACAAAA
ensembl:snoRNA SNORA62 Small nucleolar RNA SNORA62/SNORA6 family